rnacentral:rRNA from 1 species
UGCCAGCAGCCGCGGUAAUACGAAGGGUGUAAGCGAAUACUCGGAAUUACUGGGCGUAAAGCGUGCGCAGGUGGUCUUUCUAAGUCCGUUGUGAAAGCCCUGGGCUCAACCUGGGAACUGCAGUGGAUACUGGGCGACUAGAGUGUGGUAGAGGGUAGCGGAAUUCCUGGUGUAGCAGUGAAAUGCGUAGAGAUCAGGAGGAACAUCCAUGGCGAAGGCAGCUACCUGGACCAACACUGACACUGAGGCACGAAAGCGUGGGGAGCAAACAGGAUUAGAUACCCUGGUAGUCCACGCCCUAAACGAUGCGAACUGGAUGUUGGGUGCAAUUUGGCACGCAGUAUCGAAGCUAACGCGUUAAGUUCGCCGCCUGGGGAGUACGGUCGCAAGACUGAAACUCAAAGGAAUUGACGGGGGCCCGCACAAGCGGUGGAGUAUGUGGUUUAAUUCGAUGCAACGCGAAGAACCUUACCUGGCCUUUGACAUGUCGAGAACUUUCCAGAGAUGGAUUUGGUGCCUUCGGGAACUCGAACACAGGUGCUGCAUGGCUGUCGUCAGCCUCGUGUCGUGAGAUGUUGGGUUUAAGUCCCCGCAACGAGCGCAACCCUUUGUUCCU